UACGAAGGGGGCGAGCGUUGUUCGGAGUUACUGGGCGUAAAGGGCGCGUAGGCGGCGAUCCAAGUUAGGCGUGAAAGCCCCGGGCUCAACCUGGGAAUAGCGCUUAAGACUGGGUUGCUCGAGUGCGGGAGAGGUGAGUGGAAUUCCCAGUGUAGAGGUGAAAUUCGUAGAUAUUGGGAAGAACACCAGUGGCGAAGGCGGCUCACUGGCCCGCAACUGACGCUGAGGCGCGAAAGCGUGGGGAGCGAACAGG
rnacentral:rRNA from 1 species